GGAGAGGUGGCCGAGUGGCUGAAGGCGCACGCCUGGAACGCGUGUAUACCCUAACCGGUAUCGUGGGUUCGAAUCCCACUCUCUCCGCCA
rnacentral:tRNA from 1 species